AGCUCCAAUAGCGUAUAUUAAAGUUGUUGUGGUUAAAAAGCUCGUAGUUGGAUCUCGGCGGUCUGAGGGCGGUUCGCUUGAUUGAGUGCUACUGCUCUAUAGGCCGUGGUUUUGCCAGAGGUCUCGGGGUGCUCUUAACCGAGUGUCCUGCGAUGCUGGCAGGUUUACUUUGAAAAAAUUAGAGUGCUCAAAGCAGGCUUUUACGCCUGAAUAUUCGUGCAUGGAAUAAUAGGAAUGGGAGUUGGUUCUUAUUUGGUGGGUUUCGGAAAUCGACUUAAUGAUUAAUAGGGACAGUCGGGGGCAUUUGUAUUCAAACGACAGAGGUGAAAUUCUUGGACCGUUUGAAGACAAACUACUGCGAAAGCAUUUGCCAAGAAUGUUUUCA
rnacentral:rRNA from 1 species